GACGAACGCUGGCGGCGUGCCUAAUACAUGCAAGUAGAACGCUGAAGCGAGGAGCUUCCUCUUCUUGGAUGAGUUGCGAACGGGUGAGUAACGCGUAGGUAACCUGCCUUGUAGCGGGGGAUAACUAUUGGAAACGAUAGCUAAUACCGCAUAACAAUGGAUGACACAUGUCAUUUAUUUGAAAGGGGCAAUUGCUCCACUACAAGAUGGACCUGCGUUGUAUUAGCUAGUAGGUGAGGUAAUGGCUCACCUAGGCGACGAUACAUAGCCGACCUGAGAGGGUGAUCGGCCACACUGGGACUGAGACACGGCCCAGACUCCUACGGGAGGCAGCAGUAGGGAAUCUUCGGCAAUGGGGGCAACCCUGACCGAGCAACGCCGCGUGAGUGAAGAAGGUUUUCGGAUCGUAAAGCUCUGUUGUAAGUCAAGAACGGGUGUGAGAGUGGAAAGUUCACACUGUGACGGUAGCUUACCAGAAAGGGACGGCUAACUACGUG
rnacentral:rRNA from 1 species